rnacentral:rRNA from 1 species
GUUGAACGCUGGCGGCAUGCUUUACACAUGCGAGUCGAACGGCAACGCGGGGCAACUUGGCGGCGAGCGGUAACCGGGUGCGUAAUAGUACGGAGCGUACCCCGAACUGGUAGGUCACGUAUAGCUUGGUACGCCAGUACCGCAUACGUUCUACGGUAGUAAAUGGGGGACCUUAGUGCCUCAUGCCUUUGGUGCGGCCGAUGUCGGAUUAGCUAGUUGGUGAGGUAAUGGCUCACCAAGGCGACGAUCAGUAGCUGGUCUGUGAGGACGACCAGCCACACUGGGACUGAGACACGGCCCAGACGCCUACGGGAGGCAGCAGUGGGGAAUGUUGGACAAUGGGCGCAAGCCUGAUCCAGCAAUGCCGCGUGAGUGAAGAAGGCCUUCGGGUUGUAAAGCUCUUUUGUCAGGGAAGAAACGGCUGAGGAUAAUACCUUCGGCUAAUGACGGUACCUGAAGAAUAAGCACCGGCUAACUACGUG